GAGUGAAUGUGAAGGACUGGGAUAUUAUUGUCCACUACUGUAGACUUUAUAAACACAGUACACUUAGGCUACACUGUUUAUUUUUAAAAUAAAGUAAUUGAGCUACAACAUGACAAUGGCUACAGCGUCACUAGGUGAUAGGAAUUUUUCAGCCCCAUUAUAAUCUUAUGGGACCACCUUCAUACAUACAGUCGGUUUUUGACUGAAACAUCAUUACAUUCAGCACGUGAAUGUAAUUGCGAUGAAGUGAAAGAUAAAGGUUAUAGUUCUAGUGUAUCCACAGUGCUUUAGGAGAUGAACUGUUAGGGAAAGCCAGAAAAAUCUCCACCACGGAAAAAAUAUUUGGCCUGCGUCUUGAAGGAUAAAUAGGAAGUCAGUACUCAGACAGGUGCCAGUGUUUUUCAGCCUGAGGCAGGGAGGUAUGAGAGACAGCUGGAAGGGUUUGAGAAUGGGUGGUGAGAACUUACACUUACUGGGGACUGGAUAUAAGAAUGCAGUAAGACGUGGACCUAGCACCGUGAUUUUUCGACCUGGGCUACACAUCAGAAACACCUAGCGAGCUUUUAAAUCUUCCAGGGCCCAAACCACAUUGUGAACCAAUUAAAUCAGGACGUCUGGGGCUAGAAGCCAGUCAUCAGUAUCUUUUUUUAAGCUCCCAAAGUGAUUCCAAUGUGCUGCCAAGUCUCAGAACCACUAGUCUAGAAAGGAGGGAUAAGGAUUUUCAGCAGCCCCCACAGAACCGGCCCUCCUGGUGACCCUGCAAUCCUGGCACACACACCCCACCCCGCCUGGGAGAAAGACCGGCCACACCACAGUCAUCGGCUGUUUCCUGCUGCUCCUUUCCUCCCACCAGCAUUUUACUCUGAAAUAGUGGUUCUCAAAGUGUGGUCUCCAGACUGUAGCAUCAGCCUCAGGGGGAAAUUCUUAAAAAUGCAAAUUUCCCAGCCGCACCCUGGACGCAUUCACCCAAAAACUCUGGGAGUGGAGCCCAGCAACUGAGCCAUGCUAAGGUUGGUGAGCCGCUGCUCUGGAACAUUGAUCCCUCCCAAACUGCAGCAAAGCAAGCACCUGGGUGUAGCUCUGGCUGUGUAGGUGCUACUACAAUCUGCUGGAGUCACUGCUUGUCGGCAGAGAUGCCGUGGGAGCUGGCCUGGGUGCCUCCACGUUGGCCGUCACCACCAGGCAGUGGCCUUUGGCCUGGAAUCGAAGGUACCAGAGGGCUGAUAGCUCAGUUUUUUUAUGGCACCAAGAAAAGACUUUCAGAUUGGAGCCGGAACCAGCCACGUCCUGAUUCCACACUCCCUUGAGGAGCCAGCCAGCUCCACAUUUACUCAAAGAAUCCGAAGGGCACCAAGUGGAUGCUCUGCCACACGAUUGAAGAGGGCAAGCUGUCUGGGGGGUUUUCCACCUCUUUUCAACUCAACUAUUCUGAGCUGAAGUACUGGACCCGUUUUGUUUUUCCUGUUUUUUCCUGCUUCGGUAAAUCUGGAAAAAUCCUGCAGGUCUGAAAAACUGUUGGACUUGACAGCGUGUGUGUAGCGCCACCUGGUGACCACAGCUUAUCAAAACAGCUUCCUUCUGGGGCUCUUGUGGAUGUACAUCAAAGGCUCCAGCUUCCAGACAGGUACACAUCCUGUUCUCACGCCCGGCCCACUUUCCCGUGGGAAUGUCAGCCACUCUGAUUUGCCUUGGCUGAAAACCUCCUGUCUUUGCAUGGAAAAAAACACAAAUAAUAUGAACAAGCAACAGAGUUUUCUUUCUCUCUUAAGUAACCAAGCAUUUAAAAUCUUCUAAAGCACACAUUUCCCUAAUUGAGAAAGGAAGCAGAAGAAAAAUUUCUGGCUGAAAUUAUAAAUCAUAAUAAAUGGUCGGAAAUACCUUCUCCCUUAGAUUCCUGGGGUCCUAGUGUAGAGGAGACUUCAGUUGCCCUUGACACUACAACAUCCUGACUAAAAGCCUGUUUCCAAGGUGAUAUUUGAUAGACAUGAAGGACCCAGGUGGAAAAGAAGGUAGUCUGGACGGCACGGCAAGGAGUGGAACACGCAGGCUAUGAGGUGUCAGCAGAAAUCAGUUCUGGUCCUGGCACUGCUACCAACUUGCUGUGUGACCUUGGGAAGUUACUUAAGCUUUGUGGAUCUCAAUGCCCCAGACUCGUUAACUUCUUUACUAUUUUUUCCCAUAAAUUCAGUGUUUCUGAAAGAUGUUGCCCACCAGAAUGCAUCUCUAAAAUAGGAGCUUAAUAAGCUUUCUGUCUUGAGGGAUCAGACGUAUAAAUGUCAGGCAGGCCUUCUGAUGAUCAUGAUGCAACCAGAGUUACCACAGUGAGUCCAUAUCACAGACAAAGGCGAAGACACUUGAUCCCUUCUUAACCUGGUCUCCCACCCAUGAAUGAUUUUUGUUAGGAUUUCAGCAUGUUGAAACUAACCCACAGACCCUAGUUACAACUUUCUCAGGGCCUGAGAGCUGGGGAAUCCCAGUUUGGGAACCAAAAAACUAGAAAAUCUUGAGGGCAACUCUGGCUGUCAUGAACUAAAACAGAGCAAAGAUGGAAGCCUGUGGUAUGUGCGUGCAGGUAGAAUCUCGAUUUGAGAAAUGGCGUUACAAGGAAUUAACACUUCAGAAAUGCCAGCUCUGUGCCAGGAUUUUUUUAUUUUAUUAUGUAUAUUUGUCAUGGACAACAUGUUUUGGAAUAUGUAUACAUUGUGGAAUGGUUAAAUAAAGCUAAUUACAUAUGCAUGUGCUCACAAAGUUAUCAUUUUAGGGGUGACUUAAAAUCUCUCAGUGAUUUUCAAAAAUAUAUGUUAUUAAUCAUAGUUGCAAUGUUGUACAAUAGAUCUCUUGAACAUAUAUUCCUCUUGUCUAACUGAAAUUUUAUGUUCUUUGACCAUCUCCCCAACUGCCCCCCAACAAGCCUGAAAGCCCUGGUAACCCCUAUUCUACUCUCUACUUCUUUGAGUUCAACUUUUUAAGAGUCCACAUAUGAGAUCAUGCAGUAUUUGUCUUUCUGUGCCUGACUUAUUUCACUUAGCACAAUGUCCUUUGGGUUCAUCUAUGUCACAAGCAACAGGAUGUCCUCCUUUUUAAAAGACUGAAUAGUAUUC
rnacentral:lncRNA from 1 species